ACGUAGGUGGCAAGCGUUGUCCGGAAUUAUUGGGCGUAAAGCGCGCGCAGGCGGCUAUGUAAGUCUGAUGUUGAAGCCCGGGGCUCAACCUCGGUUCGCAUUGGAAACUGUGUAGCUUGAGUGCAGAAGAGGAAGGCGGUAUUCCACGUGUAGCGGUGAAAUGCGUAGAGAUGUGGAGGAACACCAGUGGCGAAGGCGGCUUUCUGGACACAUAUUGACGCUGAGGUGCGAAAGCGUGGGGAGCAAACAGGA
rnacentral:rRNA from 1 species